GCUGGGCCCGGGCGGAGCCGAGGGCGGGGGAGGAGGGCGGAGCGGGGUGGGAGGCGCGGCGGCCGAGGGGCUGCAGAAAAGUUGCGGGGAUCGGAGCGACAGCAGCCGCGGAGCCGCGGGAGUGGGGAGCGCGCGGCGGGUGCAGAGCGGGCAGAGCGGGCGGCGCGCACCCGGGGCGGCAGGGAGCCCCAGACCCGUCUCCCGGGGAUGCGUGGGGCCCCGAGCCAGGUGCUGGCGCGCGGCCGGGCACAGCCUCCAGAUUUGGCUUGCAGAGCAGCGUGCCCCCCUUGAAGGGAAAUGCGGUUUGCAGCAGCCCUUGCCGGCCAAGAGUGGCCACGUGACAUGGAGCUGCCCUGUGGGAUGCGAGGGAUGGCCUGGGUCCGGGGCCCUAGAGGGCUGUGCAGGGCCUUCGGAGCGCGGAGUGGCCUGUGCGCUGUGCAGCUGGUGGGCCGCUGUGCACUGCCGGGCGUUUGCGGCGAUGCAGACUUGGGUCCCCAGCACCUGGAUGCCAGUGUCGGUGGCGGCUUCCUGGGCGGUAACCCUGAAUCGGAAACUUUUGCCGGGAAUGGCCAACCCGCUGAACAUGCGGGCCGCCGGCCGUGCGCUCCUGCUCUCUUUUGGAAACUGGACUUAUUUUUAUAUAAAUUAGAGGUUUCAACGUGA
rnacentral:lncRNA from 1 species